GCGGCUAUCCAUUAGAGCCAUUUUUGAUGACUCCAGUCCGCAACCCCACAACAGAACCGGAGGAGCGCUACAAUAGGGCCCAUACACGGACACGUGUCGUUGUGGAGCAAACCUUUGGAAUACUAAAGAGCCGGUUCAGGUGCCUUCACAAAUCUGGGGGUGCCUUGCAGUAUGCUCCCAUGAAGUGCCUCAACAUCAUCACCUCAUGUUUACUGCUGCACAACCGCUGUGUCCAGCGGGGUAUUCCACUUCCCCAGCGGGUACAAAUUUAUAUUUCGCUUGAAGAGGAUGAGGAAGAGCAGGAUGCUCCUACUGCUGUUCUUGGAGCAGCUGCUGGCCGAGGAGCUGGAAGAGCAGUACGUGAAGCAAUAAUUGCUAAUUUUUUUGGGUGAAAUGGUGAGGUGUGUAUUUUAUCGGUCACUCUUGAGUAAGAGCUCAGUAAGUUUGUCACACAUGAGUCCCCUUUUCUGGAAUCCAUACUGUUUACUUGUUAUUAAAUUAUGCUCUUCUAGAAAUCUCGUCUAUUGUUUCUUUAUCACUUUUUCACAUAUUUUACAUAGUACAC